rnacentral:miRNA from 1 species
GUUGCUGUCGACUUAUCUGUGAGGAGAUCCUGUCGACUCUCGCUAUAAGCUGUGGUAACUG